GUCAAUAGCAGAUGAAAUGCAGACCUAGCAGUAGUCUUGUUGUUCCAGUUGUUUUUAUUUAAUCUUUCAUGAAAACCAGUCUUAAAGUUUUCAGCAUUUCUCAUCUUCUCAGCUUGAGCUUGCUCUUCAACAUUUUCCCUCUAGCAUCAACAAAGAUUCUACAGAAAAAAAACAGAAAAUUAAAGGACUGUAUUAACCCACUUCAGGAAACAAAGGAGAGCUGAUGGACAAGGACAUGCCACCAGUGGUGUGACUUUCUUGUAUUGUCUCUACAGACUUCACUGGCACUGGAGAAAAGGAAAACUGCUGAAUUCUGCAAAUAGACCUGGAAAUUCAGUAGAUGUCCAGACUGUAAACUGUUCGUUCAUGCCCUGGCUUUGAAGUGGGCUGAACUGAAUUCCAAGCUCCAUGCCUGUAGACAAAGUGCAGAUGUAAACAAAACUGACUUUCUAAAACUGACAAAAUCUUCCGAAAAUAUUCCAGCAACCUUUCUUCUUCUCUUUCACAGAUAUAAAUCUGUAAAAACACAUCUCGACAUGACAUGCGUGGAAAUUGGACUUUAAAAGUUGCCUGUGGUGGGCUGUGAAACAGCCAGUCAUUUCUGUACCAAUGGCCAAAGGACAUGGUGCUUGGUGACUUCAAAAUGUUGUUUUGCAGCUGUUGUGACUCAGGUUUUGCUUCAAACAGUGAUAAUGAGAAGGCAGGUCAGCAAAUGUUUGAUGUUGGCUUUCACAGUAACAGUGUAAGUUGCCAAUCCAAACUCAAAGAAGCACCUUACCUGAAGCCCAUGAAGGAAAACACAGCCACAGUGCAGCAGAAAAAAAAGUUGCCCUUAUUUUGGCAUGGUGACCUUUGGUACGUCAGAGGUUCUGGUUGCGACACAUUGGAGCUGAGGCCCGGGUCAUGACCACUGGGGUUGGGAUGUGGUCUUCGUACAAGUCUGUGUGUGGUUAAGCUCUGAAACACUGCUGCAAGUUUCUCAGCAACUGGACCAGCUUGCUCCUGGGAAUAGAGGGCCAGUUCUGCCUAGCAACCUUGGCCAUACCUUACUGAGGCCUUUUCCAGCAAGCAUGCCUCCCUGUGCACAGGUGUCUGGCCCAGUUCAUGCCUCGUUCUGCUUUUUAUGUUUUGUGUCAAAGGAAAGCCACAGGGAAUUAUAUGGCACCAGAUAGGGAUGCUGCAAAUCACCAUACAAAUGCAAUUUCUUAGAAAGCAAUUGUUGAGUUGAAUUCCACACUUACUGACAUGUUGCUGGUGUGGGAUCAAGGCAUCUGUGUUUGUACUACAAUUACCCUGCAUUCUUUUUUUUUUUUUUUUAAUUGCUUGUAUUCAAAGACCAGUGUUGGUAGUGUAAACAUACAAUGUAUUUCCAGCCUCCCAACUUCAUUGCUGAUUUCUCUUCCAAUCAGAAGAAAUAAAUUGAAAAAAAAAAAACCAUUGAAAAGCCCUAAAAGAAGAGAAAAAGAGAACAGUUCCGCCACCAAAGCAAAGCAAAGCAAAAACUAAAACAAAAAUGAACUCCUCGCUGCAUAAAGAGGUCAUGACUACUAUCUCUGUGGUGCCUGGGAACCUGAGGUACUGAAAAAUUGGAUUGGCUGUGGCUUUUUGUGUUGAUUUUGGCAUAACUUGCUCCCAGGUCUUCAGCAGAAGAUAGUAGUGGCAGAGCUGGGGAGGCAACCCAGACUUUGUUAUUCCCAAAUAAUUCAGCUGAAUCCCCUCUUAGAGGGGACACAUGCAUUGAGUAAGAGUUUAUUGUUUACAAACUGCACUGUAGACCCAUCUGAGAUUAUUUCUUUUUUUUACUUUAUAGAUUUAACUGCAUACAGGUAGAAAGUUGGAUGUGCAUUUUUCUCAGCAAGGAAAACCAUAAACUGGCUGCAUUUACUGUCAGAAAAAGGUGCUGCUAAUGCAAACACUUGAUUUCCUGCUGAGAUGCUGUGAAUCGUAAUACACAAAGCACCUCAAACUGAGUAUUUAUUCCUUUGUAAAAAUACCGAGGGAAAUUUUUUGCCUGGAAGAAAUUAAAUUCACUGAGAUAGUGUGAGACUCCUUAAUCUGUUGCAUGCUGAC
ensembl:lncRNA